rnacentral:rRNA from 1 species
AUAUGAAUAAGGAUCGGCUAACUCCGUGCCAGCAGCCGCGGUAAUACGGAGGAUCCGAGCGUUAUCCGGAUUUAUUGGGUUUAAAGGGAGCGUAGGUGGACUGGUAAGUCAGUUGUGAAAGUUUGCGGCUCAACCGUAAAAUUGCAGUUGAUACUGUCAGUCUUGAGUACAGUAGAGGUGGGCGGAAUUCGUGGUGUAGCGGUGAAAUGCUUAGAUAUCACGAAGAACUCCGAUUGCGAAGGCAGCUCACUGGACUGCAACUGACACUGAUGCUCGAAAGUGUGGGUAUCAAACAGGAUUAGAUACCCUGGUAGUCCACACAGUAAACGAUGAAUACUCGCUGUUUGCGAUAUACAGUAAGCGGCCAAGCGAAAGCAUUAAGUAUUCCACCUGGGGAGUACGCCGGCAACGGUGAAACUCAAAGGAAUUGACGGGGGCCCGCACAAGCGGAGGAACAUGUGGUUUAAUUCGAUGAUACGCGAGGAACCUUACCCGGGCUUAAAUUGCAGUGGAAUGAUGUGGAAACAUGUCAGUGAGCAAUCACCGCUGUGAAGGUGCUGCAUGGUUGUCGUCAGCUCGUGCCGUGAGGUGUCGGCUUAAGUGCCAUAACGAGCGCAACCCUUAUCUUUAGUUACUAACAGGUCAUGCUGAGGACUCUAGAGAGACUGCCGUCGUAAGAUGUGAGGAAGGUGGGGAUGACGUCAAAUCAGCACGGCCCUUACGUCCG